rnacentral:rRNA from 1 species
CCUACGGGAGGCAGCAGUGAGGAAUAUUGGUCAAUGGACGCAAGUCUGAACCAGCCAUGCCGCGUGCAGGAAGACUGCUCUAUGAGUUGUAAACUGCUUUUGUACGAGGGUAAAUCCCGAUACGUGUAUCGUUUUGCAAUUAUCUUAUGAAUAAGGAUCGGCUAACUCCGUGCCAGCAGCCGCGGUAAUACGGAGGAUUCAAGCGUUAUCCGGCUUUAUUGGGUUUAAAGGGUGCGUAGGUGGUUCGAUAAGUUAGAGGUGAAAUCCCGGGGCUCAACUCCGGCACUGCAUCUGAUACUGGCGGGCUAGAGUAUAGUUGAGGUAGGCGGAAUGUAUGGUGUAGCGGUGAAAUGCAUAGAGAUCAUAAAGAACACCGAUUGCGAAGGCAGCUUACCAAACUACGACUGACGUUGAGGCACGAAAGCGUGGGGAGCAAACAGGAUUAGAUACCCGGGUAGUC